GAUGAACGCUGGCGGCGUGCCUAAUACAUGCAAGUCGAGCGAAUGGAUUAAGAGCUUGCUCUUAUGAAGUUAGCGGCGGACGGGUGAGUAACACGUGGGUAACCUGCCCAUAAGACUGGGAUAACUCCGGGAAACCGGGGCUAAUACCGGAUAACAUUUUGAACCGCAUGGUUCGAAAUUGAAAGGCGGCUUCGGAUGUCACUUAUGGAUGGACCCGCGUCGCAUUAGCUAGUUGGUGAGGUAACGGCUCAACAAGGCACCGAUGCGUAGCCGACCUGAGAGGGUGAUCGGCCACACUGGGACUGAGACACGGCCCAGACUCCUACGGGAGGCAGCAGUAGGGAAUCUUCCGCAAUGGACGAAAGUCUGACGGAGCAACGCCGCGUGAGUGAUGAAGGCUUUCGGGUCGUAAAACUCUGUUGUUAGGGAAGAACAAGUGCUAGUUGAAUAAGCUGGCACCUUGACGGUACCUAACCAGAAAGCCACGGCUAACUACGUGCCAGCCGCCGCAGUAA
rnacentral:rRNA from 1 species